UAAUACGUAGGGUGCAAGCGUUAUCCGGAAUCAUUGGGCGUAAAGCGUUCGUAGGUGGUUUGGCAAGUUUGUGGUUAAAUCUGGUCGCUCAACGAUCAAAUCGCUGCAAAAACUUCCAGACUAGAGAUUGGUAGAGGCAACUGGAAUUCCACAUGUAGGGGUAAAAUCCGUUGAUAUGUGGAGGAACACCAAAAGCGAAGGCAGGUUGCUGGGCCAUUUCUGACACUGAGGAACGAAAGCGUGGGGAGCGAACAGGAUUAGAUACCCUGGUAGUCCACGCCGUAAACGAUGGAUACUCGAUGUAGUGAGGAAUCGACCCCUUGCUGUGUCUAAGCUAACGCGUUAAGUAUCCCGCCUGGGGAGUACGGUCGCAAGAUUA
rnacentral:rRNA from 1 species